CAGCGUUCUCAGGGCGGGGCGAAAUUCCCCACCGGCGGUAUUUGUUGGCUGAAAGGCUAGCAAGAGCCCGCGAGCGCCUGCGGUGCCGUUUUUCGGAACAGGCCUGCAGGGUCAGCAGAUCUGGUGCGAAACCAGAGCCGACGGUCACAGUCCGGAUGAAAGAGAUCGCGA
rfam:Acidovorax sp. NO-1 contig2, whole genome shotgun sequence.